rnacentral:rRNA from 1 species
GAGUUUGAUCCUGGCUCAGGAUGAACGCUGGCGGCGUGCCUAAUACAUGCAAGUCGAGCGAACGGACGAGAAGCUUGCUUCUCUGAUGUUAGCGGCGGACGGGUGAGUAACACGUGGAUAACCUACCUAUAAGACUGGGAUAACUUCGGGAAACCGGAGCUAAUACCGGAUAAUAUUUUGAACCGCAUGGUUCAAAAGUAAAAGACGGUCUUGCUGUCACUUAUAGAUGGAUCCGCGCUGCAUUAGCUAGUUGGUAAGGUAACGGCUUACCAAGGCAACGAUGCAUAGCCGACCUGAGAGGGUGAUCGGCCACACUGGAACUGAGACACGGUCCAGACUCCUACGGGAGGCAGCAGUAGGGAAUCUUCCGCAAUGGGCGAAAGCCUGACGGAGCAACGCCGCGUGAGUGAUGAAGGUCUUCGGAUCGUAAAACUCUGUUAUUAGGGAAGAACAUAUGUGUAAGUAACUGUGCACAUCUUGACGGUACCUAAUCAGAAAGCCACGGCUAACUACGUGACC